rnacentral:rRNA from 1 species
UACGUAGGGGGCGAGCGUUAUCCGGAUUUAUUGGGCGUAAAGCGUGUGUAGGCGGUUUAUUAAGUCUAAGAUUAAAGCCUGGAGCUUAACUUCAGUUCGUCUUAGAAACUGGUAGACUUGAGUGUGGUAGAGGCAAGUGGAAUUUCUAGUGUAGCGGUUAAAUGCGUAGAUAUUAGAAGGAACACCAGUGGCGAAGGCGACUUGCUGGGCCAUUACUGACGCUGAGACACGAAAGCGUGGGGAGCAAAUAG